CUUUCGUUGAGACACUGGGAAAAUAAUGAUUCAUUAACAAUUUCCAAUAUUAUGCAAGGGGAUAAUAUUCUUUCCUUCCAACAAUUAGUUUACAACUUACAUAUCCCGCCAAGAGAAAUAUUUACUUAUCUUCGAAUUAAAAACUUUAUACAUAAAAAUGUUAUUCAAACUUCUUCUCUAUUGGCUAAGAAUUUAGAAACUAUAUUCUGUAAUCGCCCUGUUAACAAG